rnacentral:rRNA from 1 species
GCAGUAGCCGCGGUAAUACGUAGGGUGCAAGCGUUAAUCGGAAUUACUGGGCGUAAAGCGUGCGUAGGCGGUGAGUUAAGUCUGCUGUGAAAUCCCCGGGCUCAACCUGGGAAUGGCAGUGGAUACUGGCUCGCUAGAGUGUGUCAGAGGAUGGUGGAAUUCCCGGUGUAGCGGUGAAAUGCGUAGAGAUCGGGAGGAACAUCAGUGGCGAAGGCGGCCAUCUGGGACAACACUGACGCUGAGGCACGAAAGCCAGGGGAGCGAACGGGAUUAGAUACCCGGGUAGUCCCUGUCUCUUAUAC